GUACUAGUGGUCUAGUGGUAAAAUAGUAUCCUGCCACGGUACAGACCCGAGUUUGAUUCCUGGUUGUUGCA
rnacentral:tRNA from 1 species